ensembl:lncRNA
GGUGCCACUCACUCAUUCAGUAUACAGCAAAAAAGCCCCAGACCAUCACGCUUCCACCUCCACGUUUGACUCGUUCCUCCUCCGUCCUUUCACCUACUCAACAAAACCUGUGUGACAAACACAAGAUUUCACAUUUUGACUCAUCGGUCGAGACCUUCCACCUCCAGGAGUCCAUUGACAAUGCCCAGAAAGCACAUCUUCACUUCUGAACUGCUGAAGUGUUAAAUGUUCCAGAGUCAAGACAGAGAGAUGAAAAGUUAAACAACACUCAACAAAACAUCCACGGUGAAAUGUUACCCGGACAAUGAGUUUCAGUGAGAUCCACCCUCACAGUCAAGGAAGAAUUCCUCUUUAACGACUGCCCACAAGAACUGAAUAACAGGCCAAAUAACUCAUUCAUACAGUUCCCAUUAAUCAGCUCAUUUGUUUGGUUUGCCGUGGCCUUGAUAUUUCAAGCUUCCCUGAGUCUGACGCUGGACGGUAAUUAGGGUAAAUGAAAUCAAGAGAGCCAUGGAAAUACUUCAUGCCAACCUAAUUGAGCAAACAAAUAGACUUCUAAAUCUAGACACGCUAACUACUGAAAGCCCUCACAAAGAGGAGGCUGUGCUGUGCAGAGCGUUCCCUCCUGUGCAGUUUUCCAGCUGAGAUUUAUGCAUGCCGCUCACAGGUCACUUCUGAAUACUGUCUGGAGAGAGGAAGGUGGCUUUGGCACCUUUGAAGGUUUUGAUUGCCAAAAAGUCAUUUUCAUAGUUGUUAGAGAUUGCCAAUGAGCUCGAAUAACGAUAUACAUUAGACGCUUGGUCAGCGGAAUAGAGAAGAGCUCUGCCGUGGC